UCACCAAAGCUAUGGCCUUCUCCCUCUGGUGACGUCUUAUCAUCCCCUGUGACCCCUCCUUCAGAGCUGGCUUUGUUAUUAAAAGAUUAGCCUCCCACAUAAAUAUGGUGACAGACUGAUGAAAAUUGACGGCAUUCAGAUAAUUUGUAGCACAUUUUUGAGUGUUGCCUGGAGGUCCAGAAGCCUAUGCCCUACUUGUGUACUGUAUUAUACUGUUUCACUCAUAGGUGAAGGAUGGGUGAUGGCUAGAAUGACAAAUACUUAGUAUGUCCUGCAAACUGAGGGAUUCCAGGCUUCCUCUUAAGUAAUUGGGGGAAUCCAUUCACUAGGCAAGUAGUAAUAGUAAUCUCAAGAUACGGGUGUUUCAGCUUUACCCCUAGACCUAGAAGAACUCAUGGAAUGCAAAAUUUAUGUUGAAAAAUAACAGGCCUUGGAGUUCCCGUCGUACCUCAGUGGUUAAUGAAUCCUACUAGGAACCAUGAGGUUGCGGGUUUGAUCCCUGGCCUUGCUCAGUGGGUUGGGGAUCCAGUGUUGUCGUGAGCUGUGGUGUAGGUGGCAGACACGGCUCGGAUCCCACGUUGCUGUGGCUCUGGCGUAGGCUGGUGGCUACAGCUCUGAUUAGACCCCUAGCCUGGAAACCUCCAUAUGCCGUGGGAGUGGCUCAAGAAAUGGCAAUAAAUAAAUAAAUAAAAUAACAGGCCUUAUGGGGAAAAUAGCAUUAGGGCCAAACUAUACAACUUUGUAACUUUGUAACCAGAGCAUAAAAUAAAAAUGAUUCACAGGGGACUUGUUUUAACCAGGUAUGAUAAGACUGUCCCGAAGUAAGUAGUUUUUAUGCUCGCAGAUCCCUAGAAUCAGAUAGAGUAUUCUUACCAUGCCAGCAGGGCGGCUUCAUAGAGAAGCACCAGGGUUGGUCAGGAGGAAGAGGGGAUGGCAGAAAAUGUGGAAAAGCCUGUGCUGUGGUUUUCUAGGGAAGGAAUUGGCCAAGCAGGUCAAGGAUACAUUCCAGGAAAGUUUUAAAAAUAUAUCACCAGCUCCAACUUUAUGGUUGAUCUAACCAUGGAAAACCUCAUUGGAUCCUCACUAGAUCAGACCAUGACUGGCACUCUGAAAAGCAUGAGGAAUGAGAAUCUGAGAUAUAUACCUACCACUUCAAGAAAGUUCCUGUAUCAGCCAGCACUUUAGCAGAUCAGCUAGUUUCUUGAUCAUCAAGCAGACAUAGUCGAGCUACCAGCCCAACAGAGGAAAACGUCUCUGUAUCAGUGUUUUUCCCAUUCUGAGUGUUACCCGUUUGUAGGUCAUGAAAUCAAUUUUGUGAGUCACAACGAACAUUUUUUUUAAACAAAAUAAAAUGCAAAAUAUCAGAGUGCUUGUAUGAAUCCUUUGCCAGAAUUAUGCACUUGCAAGGAAUACUAAAGUCAGUUUCACUAUAUGAAAAGAUAUUUGAUGGGGGGAUGUGAUGAGCAGAAUGUACAUGAAGAAAAUGGUUUUUCAGUUUGUCUCCUAAUAACUUGUUGGUUUUCAUCAUAAGGAGGUUGAUUGUGCAGCCUGGUUUUAUGUUACCAUGACUUGCAACUGGAUAUCAAAUCUGAGAUGUUCAACUGAGAUUCAGUUGCAAACUGCUUUUUUGGGGAAGAUGUUAUCUAGGCUAUAAGUAUAUAUACAUUUGAGUUAGUGGCAUUAUAGCAUUUUAUUCAAGAAUUGCUUUUAAAAUGGAUCGUGUCUUUUUUAAAAGAAAGAGGAUAAUGAAACAAAAUAUGCAGAAGCAUGUUCAAGUUCAACUGUUGGAUCCAGAAGUGUGAAUGAUGACAAUCUUAAGAAAAAUAUUGACUCUCAUCUGCAAACAUCAACUUUUGAGCCACAUUUCAAAAAGAAAAAAGUAAGUGCAAGGCGUUAUAAUGAAGAUUAUUUAAAAUA
rnacentral:lncRNA from 9 species